AGUGAACGCUGGCGGUAGGCCUAACACGUGCAAGUCGAACGGCAGCACAGUAAGAGCUUGCUCUUACGGGUGGCGAGUGGCGGACGGGUGAGGCAUACAUCGGCAUCUCCUCUUUCGUGGGGGAUAUCGUAGGGAAACUUACGCUAAUACCGCAUACGACCUACGGGUGAAAUCAGAGGGUCUUCGGACCUUGAGCGUCUGCUUGAGCCGAUGUCGGAUUAGCUAGUUGGCGGGGUAAAGGCCCACCAAGGCGACGAUCCGUAGCUGGUCUGAGAGGAUGAUCGGCCACACUGGAACUGAGACACGGUCCAGGCUCCUACGGGAGGCAGCAGUGGGGAAUAUUGGACAAUGGGCGCAAGCCUGACCCAGCAAUACCGCGUGAGUGAAGAAGGCCUUCGGGUUGUAAAGCUCUGUUGUUGGGGAAGAAAAGCUGCAGGUUAAACUCCCGCUGUUCUGACGGUACCCAAAGAAUAAGCAACGGCUAACUUCGUG
rnacentral:rRNA from 1 species